GGAUCCAGACUUUGAUCAUGGCUCAGGAUGAACGCUAGCUACAGGCUUAACACAUGCAAGUCGAGGGGAAACGACAUCGAAAGCUUGCUUUUGAUGGGCGUCGACCGGCGCACGGGUGAGUAACGCGUAUCCAACCUGCCCACCACUUGGGGAUAACCUUGCGAAAGUAAGACUAAUACCCAAUGAUAUCUCUAGAAGACAUCUGAAAGAGAUUAAAGAUUUAUCGGUGAUGGAUGGGGAUGCGUCUGAUUAGCUUGUUGGCGGGGUAACGGCCCACCAAGGCUACGAUCAGUAGGGGUUCUGAGAGGAAGGUCCCCCACAUUGGAACUGAGACACGGUCCAAACUCCUACGGGAGGCAGCAGUGAGGAAUAUUGGUCAAUGGACGAGAGUCUGAACCAGCCAAGUAGCGUGCAGGAUGACGGCCCUAUGGGUUGUAAACUGCUUUUAUAAGGGAAUAAAGUGAGUCUCGUGAGGCUUUUUGCAUGUACCUUAUGAAUAAGGACCGGCUAAUUCCGUGCCAGCAGCCGCGGUAAUACGGAAGGUCCGGGCGUUAUCCGGAUUUAUUGGGUUUAAAGGGAGCGUAGGCCGGAGAUUAAGCGUGUUGUGAAAUGUAGACGCUCAACGUCUGCACUGCAGCGCGAACUGGUUUCCUUGAGUACGCACAAAGUGGGCGGAAUUCGUGGUGUAGCGGUGAAAUGCUUAGAUAUCACGAAGAACUCCGAUUGCGAAGGCAGCUCACUGGAGCGCAACUGACGCUGAAGCUCGAAAGUGCGGGUAUCGAACAGGAUUAGAUACCCUGGUAGUCCGCACGGUAAACGAUGGAUGCCCGCUGUUGGUCUGAAUAGGUCAGCGGCCAAGCGAAAGCAUUAAGCAUCCCACCUGGGGAGUACGCCGGCAACGGUGCAACUCAA
rnacentral:rRNA from 1 species